UGGGGAAUUUUGGACAAUGGGCGAAAGCCUGAUCCAGCAAUGCCGCGUGCAGGAUGAAGGCCUUCGGGUUGUAAACUGCUUUUGUACGGAACGAAACGGUUCGCCUUAAUACGGUGGGCUAAUGACGGUACCGUAAGAAUAAGCACCGGCUAACUACGUGCCAGCAGCCGCGGUAAUACGUAGGGUGCGAGCGUUAAUCGGAAUUACUGGGCGUAAAGCGUGCGCAGGCGGUUAUAUAAGACAGAUGUGAAAUCCCCGGGCUCAACCUGGGACCUGCAUUUGUGACUGUAUAGCUAGAGUACGGUAGAGGGGGAUGGAAUUCCGCGUGUAGCAGUGGAAUGCGUAGAUAUGCGGAGGAACACCGAUGGCGAAGGCAAUCCCCUGGACCUGUACUGACGCUCAUGCACGAAAGCGUGGGGAGCAAACAGGAUUAGAUACCCUGGUAGUCCACGCCCUAAACGAUGUCAACUGGUUGUUGGGUCUUCACUGACUCAGUAACGAAGCUAACGCGUGAAGUUGACCGCCUGGGGAGUACGGCCGCAAGGUUG
rnacentral:rRNA from 1 species